UCUGAGAUGAGACGGAGCCGUGGUGG
rnacentral:piRNA from 1 species